rnacentral:rRNA from 1 species
UACGUAGGGUGCGAGCGUUGUCCGGAAUUAUUGGGCGUAAAGAGCUUGUAGGCGGUUUGUCGCGUCUGCCGUGAAAACCCGGGGCUCAACCCCGGACUUGCGGUGGGUACGGGCAGACUAGAGUGUGGUAGGGGAGACUGGAAUUCCUGGUGUAGCGGUGAAAUGCGCAGAUAUCAGGAGGAACACCGAUGGCGAAGGCAGGUCUCUGGGCCACUACUGACGCUGAGACGCGAAAGCGUGGGGAGCAAACAGG